GAUGAACGCUGGCGGCGUGCCUAAUACAUGCAAGUCGAGCGGUAACACUUCGGGUGACGAGCGGCGAAUGGCUGAGUAACGCGUGAGAAUCCACCCCCAAGUGAGGGAUAAGCAUCGGAAACGGUGUCUAAUACCGCACGUGGUCGUCGGAUUAAAGCUUUAUACGCGUUGGGAGGAGCUCGCGUACGAUUAGAUAGUUGGUGAGGUAAUGGCUCACCAAGUCGACGAUCGUUAGCUGGUCUGAGAGGAUGAGCAGCCAGACUGGAACUGAGACACGGUCCAGACUCCUACGGGAGGCAGCAGUAAGGAAUCUUCCACAAUGGGCGAAAGCCUGAUGGAGCAACGCCGCGUGCAGGACGAAGGCUUUCGGGUCGUAAACUGCUUUUGUUAGCGAAGAAUUUGACGGUAACUAACGAAUAAGGAUCGGCUAACUCCGUGCCAGCCGCCGCCGUAA
rnacentral:rRNA from 1 species